rnacentral:rRNA from 1 species
UAAUACGUAGGGUGCGAGCGUUGCCCGGAUUUAUUGGGCGUAAAGGGCGCGCAGGCGGCUACGCACGUCCGUUGUGAAAUCGCUCGGCUCAACUGGGCGGGGUCAGCGGAUACGGCGUAGCUGGAGCAAGCUAGGGGGCAAUGGAAUUCCCGGUGUAGUGGUGGAAUGCGUAGAUAUCGGGAGGAACACCAGUGGCGAAGGCGGUUGCCUGGAGCUUUGC